rnacentral:rRNA from 1 species
AUUGAACGCUGGCGGCAUGCUUUACACAUGCAAGUCGAACGGCAGCGCGGGCUUCGGCCUGGCGGCGAGUGGCGAACGGGUGAGUAAUGCAUCGGAACGUGCCCAGUAGUGGGGGAUAGCCCGGCGAAAGCCGGAUUAAUACCGCAUACGACCUGAGGGUGAAAGCGGGGGACCGAAAGGCCUCGCGCUAUUGGAGCGGCCGAUGUCGGAUUAGCUAGUUGGAGGGGUAAAGGCUUACCAAGGCGACGAUCCGUAGCUGGUCUGAGAGGACGACCAGCCACACGGGGACUGAGACACGGCCCAGACUCCUACGGGAGGCAGCAGUGGGGAAUUUUGGACAAUGGGGGCAACCCUGAUCCAGCCAUGCCGCGUGCGGGAAGAAGGCCUUCGGGUUGUAAACCGCUUUUGUUCGGGAAGAAAUCCUCUGGGCUAAUACCCCGGGGGGAUGACGGUACCGGAAGAAUAAGCACCGGCUAACUACGUG